GACAGAGGGUGCAAACGUUGCUCGGAAUUACUGGGCGUAAAGGGCGUGUAGGCGGGAAGGCAAGUCGGGCGUGAAAGCCCCAGGCUCAACCUGGGAACUGCACUCGAAACUGCCUUUCUUGAGUGCCGGAGAGGAAAGCGGAAUUCCUGGUGUAGAGGUGAAAUUCGUAGAUAUCAGGAGGAACACCAGUGGCGAAGGCGGCUUUCUG
rnacentral:rRNA from 1 species